rnacentral:lncRNA from 10 species
UUCUAUGGGAGUGCGCAACUUUGACUGUUCAGUUGGGCCAAUUGGCAACACUGUAGAGACGGAAACUAACUUGUGGAGGGCUGAGGGUGAUACAGACAUUUUCUGUCCGUGGUAAUGCAAAAGGUGUUCAUAGCAAUGCAAAUGGAUUUUAUCCAAUGGGGGAGAUAAAUAUUUGAACGGGCUCUCUUGUUAAUUACUAGUUAAUCAAAAUAUUUGACAUGUAUUCAUUCUAUAUUUAUAGGGGAGUCAUGAUUCUACCUUUUUGGAAAUGACCCUCUAGCAGUUUUAUUGGUCCUAUGAGAUACACAGUAGAUUCACCAGCCAGAGCCAGAUGAGCUGCACAGUUGCCAAAGGGAACUUCAGAUGCCACCAGAGCCUCAGCUCUGUCCUCCCUCACCUCCCAAGAAAGCCUGGAUCUUUGAGUUGUGUUGAUGGGCAUAUUCGUGUUUGCCACUUGAAGGAGUAAGAGGCCCGCGUGGAUCUGGAGGCAAGUGGCUGUGCCCUCCUGCAAUCUGCUCACCUGC